ensembl:processed_transcript Gm13187 predicted gene 13187
AUAGAAAAUAGAAUCGUAUCUGCAGCCGCAGGAAGCUCCCCUAUUGCCCAGGAAAAACAUCAGUAGCAACAUCAGUAGCAGUCUUAAGGAGCACAAUGAAACCAGCAUCUCUAGUCUGUAGCAACUGCUUAAUGAAAACAAACAGCCGACUACAGCCACGUAGCUUACCCUCUCCACGCUGCGCCUUCUCAGAGAUCCAUAAGCUGUGUGAAGCAGCGCCUUCAGCUUCCUUCUGGCUGUCCCUGCAGCUCUGGCUCAGCGUGACCUGCUGCCCCAGGAGUGGGUACGUGGUGCUUGUGAGGAGAAUGAUCCAGAAAUGUCAACUUGGCUUCUCCGGGCUUCGGAUGGCAAC